rnacentral:misc_RNA from 1 species
UCCGGUUUGUCACCGGCAGUCUCGCAUGAGUCCCCAACUAAAUGCUGGCAACAUGCGACGAGGGUUGCGCUCGUUGCGGGACUUAACCCAACAUCUCACGACACGAGCUGACGACAGCCAUGCACCACCUGUGAUCCAGCCCCGAAGGGAAGCCGUGUUUCCACGGCGAUCAGGAACAUGUCAAGCCCGGGUAAGGUUCUUGGCGUUGCGUCCAAUUAAACCACAUGCUCCGCUGCUUGUGCGGGCCCCCGUCAAUUUCUUUGAGUUUUAACCUUGCGGCCGUACUCCCCAGGCGGAUAACUUAAUGCGUUAGCUGCGGCACGGAGGACGUGGAAGUCCCCCACACCUAGCACCCACCGUUUACGGCGUGGACUAC